rnacentral:lncRNA from 1 species
CUCUAGAUCGUAGUUCUUCCUCUAGAUCAGUUUUCAGCAGUGCAUAUGCGAAGCCCUGCUAGAAUAAUUCCACCACCACCACCACCACGUCGUUGUGCUGGAGAACUCAUCUAUCUCUCCGCCCCUCUUGCUGGAUCAAGAAGGCGGUGAUCCUCAUCGAGUUGUACGUGUGCUUAACGCGGAGGUGCCGUCCGUUCGACACUAGAUCGGGAUAGAUCGUGAUGGAAUCGUAGGACGGAUCGUGAUGAGAUCGCGGGACGGGAUGCGAUUUGGAUCGCGAAGAUGUUCCACUACAUCAACCGCAUUAUAUACGCUUCCGCUUAGGGAUCUACAAGGGUAUGUAGAUUCACUCUCCCCUCUCGUAGAUGAUCAUCACCAUGGAUAGGUACUGCAUGUGCGUAGGAAUUUUUUUGUUUCCCAUGCAACAUUUCUCAACAAUCACUACUACUAAACAAGGACCAUCAUUAGUAAUACUAAAUGACUAAAUAGUGACCAUCAUCGGUACUACUAAAUAAUGACCAUCAUGAGUACUACUAAAUGACUAAAUAGGGGCUACACUAACUGACUAAACAGAGGCUACACUAAAUGACUAAGGCCCUGUUUGGAACCAUAAUAGAUUAUGAUAAUUUAGAUUAUGAAGAUAGAUUAUAUAAUCUGGUUUAUAAAAAAAUCUAGGUGGACAUGUUUGGAGGCCAAAUUAUAUAAACUGUAAUCCAAGUUUUACAUUGCAUAAUGACCUGUCCGCCCUCUGUUUUUUUUUAAAAGGAGGGUGACGGUGGUAGGCAUGUAAUUAUCUCCAACUUUACAAGGGUAAUGGGUCAUUAGCAAUCCAUAAUCUAAUUUUAGCUGGUAUAGAGUAGAUUAUGAGUUUUUAAUAAUCUAUCCAUCUAGUUUUCAUAAUCUACACCAUAAGCUGUCAUGUUUGGAGACAGAAUAAAUUAUAAAAACUGGAUUAUAUAAUCUGAAUGGUUCCAAACAGGGCCUAAGCAAAUGCCUAUAAAAGUUACUACCAAUUUUAAUACAAAUAACAAAAUAUGUGCAUCAUUCUUACAGGCCGAACACAAACUAGAAACCUCUUGCCGUCUCAAAUCCUUCAAAUGCUACACGACAGUGAGCUGGCAGCCGAUGCCCCACACAAAGAUCCCGAGAUCCCGUCUCGAUGCCCAUGUAGUCUUGGUCUUUAAUGCUAGCAGGAAUCUACAGGACCAAGAUAAACCAAAAACGCCAAAUCAAAAAACCAAAUCCCCAAAUCCCUCAAUCAGAAACCCUAACCCUAGCUCUACCACUUACCUGGUACUGCAUGUCAUCGGAGGAGGAGCCGAUGUCCUGCAGGCUCGAGAAGUCAUCGCUGCUCUCAUCCUUGAACUGCGUUGCGAGCGGCGGCGAUUGGGAGAGACGAGGGCGAGGCAGCGAAACAAGGGAGAGUGCGGCGGGUGGCUCGGUCUGACCCGGCCCAACCAGUUAGAACGACGGAGUUGGCUUCCUCCUAGUCAAUGGAGCGGGAUGUGCGGGUAGGCCAAUGUGUCACCUAUCACGUGGAGCUGCUCGGCAAGAUACACAAUCAAUGCUUAGAGUUGGCACCGACUUGCAAAACUAUGACCAUUUGUAUCAAUUCAUUACGACAUGCCGAAGUGUGGUACGACAUGCCGAAGUGUGCCGCGUCGAGCGUAGAAGCUCCCGUAGAAACCAUUAUUGGAGCAGGUGUUGUUCUGCCAUAUGUGUCGCCUGGCUAGAGGACACAACGGGCG